ACGGAAGGCAGCAGUGAGGAAUAUUGGUCAAUGGGCGAGAGCUUGAACCAGCCAAGUCGCGUGCGGGACGAAGGCCCUACGGGUCGUAAACCGCUUUUAUACGGGAAUAAAGUGACCUACGUGUAGGUUUUUGCAUGUACCGUAAGAAUAAGGACCGGCUAAUUCCGUGCCAGCAGCCGCGGUAAUACGGGAGGUCCGGGCGUUAUCCGGAUUUAUUGGGUUUAAAGGGAGCGUAGGCCGUGCUUUAAGCGUGUUGUGAAAUGUAGGCGCCCAACGUCUGCACUGCAGCGCGAACUGGAGCACUUGAGUACGCAGGAAGUAGGCGGAAUUCGUCGUGUAGCGGUGAAAUGCUUAGAUAUGACGAAGAACUCCGAUUGGGAAGCCAGCUUACUGUAGCGCCACUGACGCUGAUGCUCGAAAGCGUGGGUACCGAACAGGAUUAGAUACCCUGGUA
rnacentral:rRNA from 1 species